rnacentral:rRNA from 1 species
GACGAACGCUGGCGGCGUGCUUAACACAUGCAAGUCGAACGGAAAGGCCUCUUUCGGGGGGUACUCGAGUGGCGAACGGGUGAGUAACACGUGAGUAACCUGCCCUUGACUUUGGGAUAACUUCAGGAAACUGGGGCUAAUACCGGAUAGGAGCUCCUGCUGCAUGGUGGGGGUUGGAAAGUUUCGGCGGUUGGGGAUGGACGCGCGGCUUAUCAGCUUGUUGGUGGGGUAGUGGCUUACCAAGGCUUUGACGGGUAGCCGGCCUGGGAGGGUGACCGGCCACAUUGGGACUGAGAUACGGCCCAGACUCCUACGGGAGGCAGCAGUGGGGAAUAUUGCACAAUGGGUGGAAGCCUGAUGCAGCAACGCCGUGUGCGGGAUGACGGCCUUCGGGUUGUAAACCGCUUUCGCUCAUGACGAAGCUUUGUGUGACGGUAGUGGGUAAAGAAGCACCGGCUAACUACGUG